CAAGUGAGAUAUCUAACCGCACCAAUCAGUUGUGUGAAUUAGUUGCAAGUGUCCAGUUAAGCGGGUGGUUUUCACUUCAAGCUGAAAAGUGAAAUAUUAGUCUCACUCAGCCGCUUAGGUGACUCAGCAACCUGACAGUGGUAUCAAAGUCCUUCCUUCAGUGAAGCAGUCAAGCACGAUGCAGGCCAAGUGAUAAUGAAAAAAAAUAUAGGGCACCAAGCAGUCAUAUCUAACUUUAGCUCUGCGAGAAAUAGUGAAUUAUUUUAGAGUAGCUGUCAUUUCUUUGCAGAAAUUGUUGUCGACUGUAAUGAUGUGUAACUGAACCAGAAUUCCUUACGAAUGUUUUUCAUUGUAAACUGAACAUACAUUUUGACGUGAAAUAUCCUAUACGUUUCUGUAAA